rnacentral:tRNA from 1 species
CAGAAAAUAAUUUAAAGAUAAAAUAUUGGUUUUGGAUACCAAAAAUAGUAAAUACUUUUUCUGA